rnacentral:rRNA from 1 species
UACGUAGGGUGCGAGCGUUGCCCGGAUUUAUUGGGCGUAAAGGGCGCGUAGGCGGCUCUGCACGUCCGUUGUGAAAUCGCCCGGCUCAACUGGGCGGGGUCAGCGGAUACGGCGGAGCUUGAGCAAGCUAGGGGGCAAUGGAAUUCCCGGUGUAGUGGUGGAAUGCGUAGAUAUCGGGAGGAACACCAGUGGCGAAGGCGGCGAUCUGGGAACAUACUGACGCUGAGGUGCGAAAGCGUGGGGAGCAAACAGG